UACGUAGGGUGCGAGCGUUAAUCGGAAUUACUGGGCGUAAAGGGUGCGCAGGCGGCUCAUCAAGUCAGAGGUGAAAGCCCAGGGCUCAACCCUGGAACUGCCUUUGAAACUGUUGGGCUUGAGUACGGGAGAGGUGAGUGGAAUUCCGAGUGUAGAGGUGACAUUCGUAGAUAUUCGGAGGAACACCAGUGGCGAAGGCGGCUCACUGGACCGUAACUGACGCUCAUGCACGAUAGCGUGGGGAGCAAACAGG
rnacentral:rRNA from 1 species